rnacentral:rRNA from 1 species
GGACGGGUGAGUAAUGCCUAGGAAUCUGCCCAUUAGCGGGGGACAACGUGUGGAAACGCACGCUAAUACCGCAUACGCCCUACGGGGGAAAGCAGGGGACUCUUUUAGAGCCUUGCACUAAUGGAUGAGCCUAGGUCGGAUUAGCUAGUUGGUGGGGUAAAGGCCUACCAAGGCGACGAUCUGUAGCGGGUCUGAGAGGAUGAUCCGCCACACUGGGACUGAGACACGGCCCAGACUCCUACGGGAGGCAGCA